rnacentral:rRNA from 1 species
UACUAGAGUAGCACUUGCAUAUCAAUAAGCGGAGGAAAAGAAACUAACAAGGAUUCCCCUAGUAACGGCGAGUGAAGCGGGAAGAGCUCAAUAUUUGAAAUCUUAAAGGGUUUCCCUUUACGAAUUGUAGUUUAAAGAAGUGUUUUCUGUUGAGGUUUUGGUAAAAGUUCUUUGGAAUAGGACAUCAUAGAGGGUGAGAAUCCCGUAUUUGACCUUUACUUUCAACUUUGUGAUACACUUUCAAAGAGUCGGAUUGUUUGGGAAUGCAGUCCAAAAUGAGGUGGUAAAUUUCAUCUAAAGCUAAAUAUUGGCGAGAGACCGAUAGCGAACAAGUACCGUGAGGGAAAGAUGAAAAGAACUUUGAAAAGAGAGUUAAACAGUACGUGAAAUUGUCAAAAGGGAAGCGUUUGACACCAGUGUUGUUUUUCUGAAAAUCAAUUAAAGAACUGUUUAUGCUAAGCUGUUUAGACUUUAUCAGCUAUCUGUUUAGUUUUGAGCUUUUCUUUAAUGCACUUUUCAGUUAACAAGUCAACAUCAAUUUCUUUUGCUGUAAAAAAGCUUGAGGAAGGUGGCUUGAGAUUCGUCUUAAGUGUUUAUAGCCUCUUGCCUAUGCAGUCGGAGAGAUUGAGGUCUGCAGCGUAGAUCCUUCGGGGCUAAAUGCAUUUGUGCUAAGUUAUAGCAUUUUAUAGACAACUUGUUGACUAUGAUUUGUCUUGUAGCUUACUCGCUUAUGUUAUUUUACCUACGCUUAGGAUGUUGAAGAUAUGCGCGACACG